GACGAACGCUGGCGGCGUGCUUAACACAUGCAAGUCGAACGAUGAAGCCUAGCUUGCUAGGUGGAUUAGUGGCGAACGGGUGAGUAAUACGUGAGUAACCUACCUUUAACUCUGGGAUAAGCCUGGGAAACUGGGUCUAAUACCGGAUACGACCAAUCUCCGCAUGGGGUGUUGGUGGAAAGCGUUAUGUAGUGGUUAUAGAUGGGCUCACGGCCUAUCAGCUUGUUGGUGAGGUAACGGCUCACCAAGGCGACGACGGGUAGCCGGCCUGGGGGGGUGACGGCCCACACGGGGACUAAAACACGCCCCAGCCCCCUCGGGGGGGCAGCGGGGGGAAAUAUGCCAAAGGGGCCGAAGGCCUGAUGCGGCGGCGCGGGGGGGGGGAGGACGCCUUUGGGUUUUAAAACCUCUUUGGCCGGGAAAGAAGGGGGUUGGAGGGUACCUGAAAAAAAAGCGCCGGCAAACUCCGUC
rnacentral:rRNA from 1 species